GCAAAACGCGAAGAACCUUACCUACCCUUGACAUGGUUGGAAUCCCGAAGAGAUUUGGGAGUGCUCGCAAGAGAACCAAUACACAGGUGCUGCAUGGCUGUCGUCAGCUCGUGUCGUGAGAUGUUGGGUUAAGUCCCGCAACGAGCGCAACCCUUGUCAUUAGUUGCUACAUUAAGUUGAGCACUCUAAUGAGACUGCCGGUGACAAACCGGAGGAAGGUGGGGAUGACGUCAAGUCCUCAUGGCCCUUAUGGGUAGGGCUUCACACGUCAUACAAUGGUACAUACAGAGGGCUGCCAAACCGCGAGGUGGAGCUAAUCCCAGAAAGUGUAUCGUAGUCCGGAUUGUAGUCUGCAACUCGACUACAUGAAGUUGGAAUCGCUAGUAAUCGCGGAUCAGCAUGUCGCGGUGAAUACGUUCCCGGGUCUUGUACACACCG
rnacentral:rRNA from 1 species